rnacentral:tmRNA from 1 species
GGGGGCGAUCGGUUUCGACGGGAUAUGCGUCGUCUUAAAUGGCAUAUCGAGGCCCAGGCAUCUCGUUAAUCACCUGGAAAAACCAUAAAUGCCGAUUACGGCUACAUGGCCGCUGCUUAAUUAAAGUGGCCCGUUCUGAAUUUGGUUUGUCUAUGGCCAGAUUUAAGAACGUCAAUUUCAUAGACUGGUCCUAAUUGUUGUCUGUGAUAUUAGGAUAAGACUUUAACAGACUUUGCUUGUAAUAGUUGCGUCAUCAGGACAGUUAUAAGUGAGCAUAAUCUGACUGACUAAGCAUGUAGAUGUUUUCCGGGAUUCUAUUUCGGACGGGAGUUCGAUUCUCCCCGCCUCCACUA